rnacentral:rRNA from 1 species
GAUGAACGCUAGCGGGAGGCCUAAUACAUGCAAGUCGAGCGGUAGAGUGACUUCGGUUGCUUGAGAGCGGCGAACGGGUGAGUAACGCGUACACAAUCUACCUUUAAGAGGGGAAUAGCCCUGGGAAACUGGGAUUAAUGCCCCAUGGCAUCACGAAGUGGCAUCGCUUUGUGAUUAAAGCUGAGGUGCUUAGAGAUGAGUGUGCGUCUGAUUAGCUAGUUGGUGCGGUAACGGCGCACCAAGGCGACGAUCAGUAGGGGGCGUGAGAGCGUGGACCCCCACACGGGUACUGAGACACGGACCCGACUCCUACGGGAGGCAGCAGUAAGGAAUAUUGGACAAUGGGCGAAAGCCUGAUCCAGCAAUGCCGCGUGAGUGAUGAAGGCCUUAGGGUUGUAAAGCUCUUUUACCAGGGAUGAUAAUGACAGUACCUGGAGAAUAAGCUCCGGCUAACU